AGUGAACGCUGGCGGUAGGCCUAACACAUGCAAGUCGAACGGCAGCACAGUAAGAGCUUGCUCUUACGGGUGGCGAGUGGCGGACGGGUGAGGAAUACAUCGGAAUCUACUUUUUCGUGGGGGAUAACGUAGGGAAACUUACGCUAAUACCGCAUACGACCUACGGGUGAAAGCAGCGGAUCUUCGGACCUUGCGCGAUUGAAUGAGCCGAUGUCGGAUUAGCUAGUUGGCGGGGUGAAGGCCCACCAAGGCGACGAUCCGUAGCUGGUCUGAGAGGAUGAUCAGCCACACUGGAACUGAGACACGGUCCAGACUCCUACGGGAGGCAGCAGUGGGGAAUAUUGGACAAUGGGCGCAAGCCUGAUCCAGCCAUACCGCGUGGGUGAAGAAGGCCUUCGGGUUGUAAAGCCCUUUUGUUGGGAAAGAAAAGCAGCAGGUUAAUACCCCGCUGUUCUGACGGUACCCAAAGAAUAAGCACCGGCUAACUUCGUG
rnacentral:rRNA from 1 species